rnacentral:lncRNA from 1 species
AGCCAUCUACACAACGGUGAAUUUCAAUGAAAUUCGUGUGUAUUAAAAAUGUAUUUCAAACAAUGAACAAGAACAUUAAUUUUCACGAUCACACUGAGGCUUCAGAUGAGAGCCUUUUUCUUGUAGUCUUUUCCAAAUGUGACUCUGAGCAAAUGAAGAAAAAGCUCUUGACAACGAAACGGCACUACAGUGUUCUGAAUAGCUGACAACAAGGAAACAAAUCACAGACCUGCGUCACAGGGAUGCACCUUUUACCAAAGCAGGGUUCCCGAAACAUGGAGAGCCCCCCGGAGGACCAGUGAUAGGCUGCAUAGGAUGAGAUUCAAGUGUGUUUGGUUCUCACCCGCUUUCUGCGAGAUGAAAGCAGAAAAGACCACCGUGGGAGAAAAGAAAACCCAAUCUGCUUGACUGCCGUGCUAAUCUACGCGUUCCCCUGCUCUCUUGGUCAGCUUUUGCAGCGCCUGCUGCUCUGCGGCACUGCUGACCUGACACACAUGUUAAGAAGUACCUGGUAUUUUGAGGAAGACAUGAGCUGAAGCUUUCGGACACAGGAGUCUUGUCUUAAGAUACAGACAUCACUUGAGACUCACAUCCGACCUUCUGCUGACCCUCGGCAGACAGGACUCCGUUUACCUCCACUCAUACGAAUGUUUCCUUAAACUCACUAGAACACCUGUCUACUUUAUUUUGUAUUCUUCUCCCUUAAUACUGAACAUCAAGGAAACCUUCUCAUUCCUGAUUGACUAAAUCCGCUAUGAUUCAAACCCCAAAAGGAAACAUACUCUCAAAGGGCAAGAUAAUUUCAACAUACAGGUCAGAUUCUCAGUUUCUUUUAUAGUAACUAUGUGUUUAUGUCUGGGUGAUAAUUAAUAUUUGUGUUUCAACUAUCAAGCAAAG